ACUGAUGAAGGCGAUUAUCAGGUAAAACUGCGCAACCUGAGUCGUUUUCUGGAGGGAGGUGACAAAGCGAAAGUCACCGUCCGUUUCCGUGGCCGGGAAAUGGCACACCAAGAGUUGGGAAUUGAACUGCUAGAGCGCAUUCAACAAGAUCUAGCCGAUAUCUCAACUGUGGAAUCGUUCCCAAAACGUGCUGAGGGUCGCCAGAUGAUUAUGGUGCUGGCCCCUGGUAAUAAGAAGUAACUGUGGUUUCAAGUAGGGCGGUACUUGGUACUUCUCUCACCCUGUUACACUUUUAAUUGACAAUGCGGAGUAAUUUCAUGGCUAAAAUGAA
rnacentral:misc_RNA from 1 species